rnacentral:ncRNA from 2 species
GGGAAUCCGGUGGGAAUCCGGGACGGUCGCGCCACUGUGACCGCGGCGGCCGCUGAUGCGGACCGGUGCGGGAGUCAGACC